rnacentral:lncRNA from 1 species
AGCAAAGUGAUCCAUCUACUCAGAAUAACUGCCCCAGAUAAAUGAGCUCUGAAAUGGGGAGUGAUGAGACUUCCUAUCAUUAGGUAGGCCAACAGGAGGGCCUUACCUGCAGUCUCUCUGUUUAAUGUAAAAGAAAUUUUCUUAAGAACUUGUCAGGCAACAGGAUGGUGGAAUGAAGUGCAUCUCCAACUGUGUCCAUAACAGGCAGGCCCUAACCAUUAGUCAUUUAGUAUGCAGAAAGUUGGGAAAGAACAUUCUAUUCUCUGCCAAGUUAUCAAGUCAAAAUACAGGUGAGGUGAUGGGUAAUUGUGGAGACCUUAAUGCUAUUUUUAUAUAGAAUUCAAAUAAAAAGGAAAAGUAAAACCUACAUGAUUUCUAUUUAUUUUACAUUCUACCACAGUUGAGGCUGAGGAGUGGGAGUAGGAGAUAUUUAACUUGGCCUCAGGAAACCUGCAUUAUAGUCUUCUUAAAUUAAAUUGAAAUGUGAUCUUUGGAAAAUCUGGCUUAAGGACAUUUUCAAUUAUAACAUUGUAUCGUUCUUGAUUUAUAUUCCUGGUAACUAAAAGAGAAGCCACCAUUGUUCAUGUUCUGGCCAAUUCCAUGGCUAUUUCUAUUCUACAUCUGUCCAGAAGGUCAAAAGCAGAGUCUAAAUUAGGGCAUCUCCAAAAGACAAACAGCAUGGGGCAUGUUCAAUAUCAGCUUAUUCAGGAUGCACCAAAGACAUG